GAUGAACGCUGGCGGCGUGCCUAAUACAUGCAAGUCGAGCGAACGGACGAGACGCUUGCUUCUCUCAUGUUAGCGGCGGACGGGUGAGUAACACGUGUAUACUCUCCCUAUAAGUCUGGGAUAACUUCGGGAAACCGUCGCUAAUACCGGAUAAUAUCCUGCACCGUAUUGUUCAAAAGUGAAAGACGGUGUUUCUGUCACUUAUAGAUGGUUCCGCGCUUCAUUAGCUAGUUGGUAAGGUAACGGCCUACCAAGGCGACGAUGCAUAACCGACCUGAGUGAGUGAUAGGCGGCCCUGGAGCGGAGACGGGGUCCAGAGUCCUACGGGAGGCAGCAGUAGGGAACCUUCCGCAAUAGUGGAAAACCUGACGGAGCAACCCGGAGUGUGUGGUGACGGUGUGCGGUGCGUGAAACUCGGUUAUUGGGGAAGAACAGCUGUCUAAUGAACUGAGCAGAGCUUGACGGUACCGAAUCAGGAAGCAACGGCUAACUACGUG
rnacentral:rRNA from 1 species